AGUGAACGCUGGCGGUAGGCCUAACACAUGCAAGUCGAACGGCAGCACAGUAAGAGCUUGCUCUUACGGGUGGCGAGUGGCGGACGGGUGAGGAAUACAUCGGAAUCUACUUUUUCGUGGGGGAUAACGUAGGGAAACUUACGCUAAUACCGCAUACGACCUACGGGUGAAAGCAGGGGAUCUUCGGACCUUGCGCGAUUGAAUGAGCCGAUGUCGGAUUAGCUAGUUGGCGGAGUAAAGGCCCACCAAGGCGACGAUCCGUAGCUGGUCUGAGAGGAUGAUCAGCCACACUGGAACUGAGACACGGUCCAGACUCCUACGGGAGGCAGCAGUGGGGAAUAUUGGUCAAUGGGCGCAAGCCUGAUCCAGCCAUACCGCGUGGGUGAAGAAGGCCUUCGGGUUGUAAAGCCCUUUUGUUGGGAAAGAAAAGCAGCAGGUUAAUACCCCGCUGUUCUGACGGUACCCAAAGAAUAAGCACCGGCUAACUUCGUG
rnacentral:rRNA from 1 species